AAUCGUGAACGCGAUGAACAAAACCAGCGAGUACUUAUAUAUGGCUGUUGAUGUCGAUGUUGAAACUGAUCGUUCAUAAAACAUAGGCAUUCCUGCAUUUUUUCCUCGUUCAUAAUCACUUGAAGAGUUUUUCCAAUUUUCUUUGUACAGCUCACUGAAAUACUAAUGUUAUUCAUUUUGAGCGAAAAACCUAACCUCAAAAAACACGUUCAAAUCUUUUAAAAGACCUUAUCAUACGCGAGAUAUCCGCAGGGCAAUUUGGAGUUGGAUUAUUUUUUGACAGCACGUUAGAUACGUUUUGACUAAUAGUUUCGUUCCUGGUAUUUAACGUUUCGCAACAAAAUUGAACUAUGGAAUUUCAAGUUAUGGAAGAAACAUACAGAAUUCUUAAAUAUUGUAUCUCAUCUCGUCCGGGUGGUAUACCGCAGAACGAACUAGACGACGAAUUCUUCAAAUUGACUGGAAAUUACAUACCGUAUCUCAGUCUUGGGUUCAACAGUCUGUACGAGUACAUGGGAUCGAUAAAAGAAAUUGUUAAGAAGCGCAAUCGAGAAAACCAGUUGAUUUACGUUGUUGAUGAUCCAAACGAUGAUCCGUUGAGUAGUUUGAACACAAAACUAUCAGGACUGAAUGUUCAAUCGCUCUAGAAAUGUUGAUUUCACACUGGUAACUUUAGUUUUUCAAGUCCCAUUACAAAGAUGGGAAAUAUCUGGUAACAUAAUUCAAAUUUUGGAGAGACACUUCUGACUAAAAUUCAUUUCUCCAUGAUUUUAUUCCGAUUUCCUAUGACGUAUAUGGAACAAUUCACGACCCUGAUUACUUUAUUUGAUUAAUGUUCUGAGACAUCUAAUGACAACUGUUUAGUUGCAAAUCGACCUCAAUAAUGUGUUCUUGCAAGAAUUUGAAAAUCUUUACCGUUCUCAUAGUAUUGAUCAUUGAGGAAGAGUCUCAAUGGCUUAGAAUUUCUGAAACAACACGAUUAUCAUUGAAGUUCUAAAACAAUGUAUAUUAAAAUUUGUUAUAAGCUAAUUCACAAAAAUAUUCGUCCAAAUUUUUUGUGAUAAAGCCAACGCUACAAGCUCACAAUUUUGUAAGUAACAAUAGUAACAUAAGACCUAUGAGCUUUCAUGACGGAUAGCACAAAGUUUUGUAAUCUUAGAAUCGUGUGAAAUGAAAAGUUAAAAGUGGUACAUUGCAAUAAAAUGAAUCAGCUGUGAAACCUCCAGAAGGGAUUAUUUGAUAGCAGAGUACUUAAAAAAAUCGUUUGUCAGUGGAAAGCUGUAGCACAACGCAACGAAAAUUGUUACCAUCGACAGUUUUGACAGAUUUGGAUCUCGAGUUCUAAAUACAAAAGGUUGAAAUAUUAUAGCACUGGAUCUCUCCCGAAAUUCUGAUCGGUCGUAGUGUUUCUGAGCUUCUCUAUAGAAAAAUUUAAUUUUCAUUCUUUGUUAUCGAAUUUUUUUGUCUUGUCACUGCAUUUCUCCACUGAUCCAAUGAUCAUGUGGCCAUGCAAAAAAUUUGAACUUCGUUGACAAAUAUGCCAAGAAUGGGGAGUACAUCUGGAAAUUUGCUAAACAGUCGAGUGCUGAUCCAAGAGUUCUUAGUUAUUAUCGGCGGUUUGCUGAACAAAAAUCCGUACAAAUCCGUACAAUUGUAGAAAAUGUAAAAAUUUCGGAUGUUUAAUUUUCUGUACAACAGCAAUUAAAAUUAAACCGCUUCAGUGGUAA